AGCAGUAGCAGUGUGCGGCAUUUUUGCCUUCCUGAUAAAACGGCUUAGUAAGUCAAGACCAGGACAAGAUUAAAUCCUGAACUGCAAAGAGAGUCGCUACUGAACUAAACCUUGCUGGAGGAUGCUUUCGAGUUUAUUGCAGUUUUUAGUUCUGUUACUGAUUCCAUGCAGUGUCCAGCGAGAUCUGCUGUAUCAGUGGCCUCACCGGGUCGUCUCUGAAGAAGGGAAAUCGGUCGAGUUCCAUUGCUAUCAAAAUGGAACAGUCCAGGACAACAUGUUCUGGUACCAACAGAGACCUGGGCAGGCACUCACUUUAGUUGGGUACUUUUACAGUGGUGGAAAGCCUGAGUAUGGAAAGGGAUUCAAACAUGGAUUUGACAUCAGCCGGACCAGCAAUGACAGAAUGUUAAAGCUCAAGUUGGAGAGAGUGCUGUUAAAGGACAUGGCGGUCUAUCACUGCGGGACUGGAGAUAGGGCACAGCGCUACAAACUCAUCUGGCACAGUGACAAAAAAAGACCCACCGCAGUCAAUCAACCCAGAUCUGCUUCCUUUGUUUCAAAUCACCUAGUUUCAGUCGCCUACGCUUCAACUUAA